rnacentral:rRNA from 1 species
GGAAUUUUGCGCAAUGGACGAAAGUCUGACGCAGCAACGCCGCGUGGGGGAUGAAGGCCCUCGGGUCGUAAACCCCUUUUGAAAGGGAAGCAACUGACGGUACCUUUCGAAUAAGCCACGGCUAACUACGUGCCAGCAGCCGCGGUAAUACGUAGGUGGCAAGCGUUGUCCGGAUUUACUGGGCGUAAAGGGCGCGCAGGCGGCUCAUCAAGUCUGGGGUGAAAGCUCCCGGCUCAACCGGGAGAGGUCUCUGGAUACUGAUGGGCUUGAGGAACGCAGAGGAAAGCGGAAUUCCCGGUGUAGCGGUGAUAUGCGUAGAUAUCGGGAGGAACACCAGUGGCGAAGGCGGCUUUCUGGGCGUUUCCUGACGCUGAGGCGCGAAAGCGUGGGGAGCAAA